AGCAAGGGGGAGCCGAAGUUGUUAAUCUACGUCUUAAAAAUAGAGUAGGGGUCUGACUGUGUCGGAAACACUGACUGUUGUGGCAAGUCCGGGGUAACACCCUGCUGGUCCAUGCGGUGCAAAGCGUUUCUUUGUGCUUUUGCUCGGAAUGGUUUUGGGAGGCUUUUGUUUUUGAAGCUUUUUUUUUUUUUCAAACGGGUGUUUUAUGUGUGGGUGGAAUUUUGCUCCCUGCCGUUUGAAAAGGAAGAGUUUUCAAGAUAUCGUUCAUAAUUUUAAGUGAACAGGAAAUUUCCGCUUGUGCGAUUCAGUGCUUGUCUUCUUAAAUCCGAAGGAAAUUAAAUCCCAGCUCUCUUUUUCCAGCCUUGCUCAACAAGCAAUGAGAAUUUCCUUAGAAUUGCCACUGGAAGUUUAAGGACAAAAGAACAAGUUCAAGACAGAAUCAGUGGUGCUACUGUCGACACAUCUGAAUAUUUGUGGCGCUGUUUCACUUCACGUGACUACGUCACGGCGCCGUAGGUGCUGUUCCUGUCAAAGAACGUACUCCCCAGAAACAGGAGGAUGGCGUCUGUGUCUCGCCCCAAGAAUUCCAUGACAAAGGUUGGCCUCUUCGUAAUCGUGAUCGUUGCUGGAUGCUUGUGCCAGAUGACCGGUUCACAGUCGUACAGAAAUUAUUACAACGGCAGGAUUAACCAAGCUCCCUCUGCUGCAGGUGCCAACGCACCCUCGCUGCCAUCACAACUUUUCCCAUCUGCGGGUCAAAACUCUCGACAAGUUCCUUCGGCACCAGCAACGGAUGCCAGCUUCUGGCUAAAGAGUCCAUUAACGGUUCUCGGCGGCGAUACAAACUACACCACCGUCAGACAAGAGUUUCUGAGGCAGCUGUGCAGUAGACUACUUACUCAGCCCAAUUCUAAUGCCUUCUCCUUCUGUCACUCUAUCAGCCCCCCGGGAGGAUAGCACAAAAGCCAUGUUCACUAUUUUUCAGCUUAUACAUCUGCUGUACUUCACUGUACACCUUCCUGCCCCCUAAGUAACCACGAUUGUAGAGGACGAGUUAGAUGAGGCCGCGAUUCAUGAUCUUCGGAGACAUCAAGAAAAAAAACAACAACAACAGAAGUUACUCCACUCAUACUCAACAUGAAUCCUAUAACUCGCUGAGAAAAAGCGAUUAUGUUGAUGUAUAGUGUGGUUUGUAUGCUUGUAUGUUGUUGACAUGUAUUUGUGAUCACAAUGUAAAUAAUUAUAAUCGCUACUUGUAAUCUCAAAUAUGUUUAAUGUCUGUGUAAGCCUUCGAUAGGGUUUUUUUAAAAAAUGUGUCUGAUAUGUAUGGCGAUUAAUCUUUUUCAUAUACUACUUUUGCUGUACAGUUGAAUAUACCCAGUUUCAAUGUCAAA